rnacentral:rRNA from 1 species
GAAUCCGCYAAGGAGUGUGUAACAACUCACCUGCCGAAUGAACUAGCCCUGAAAAUGGAUGGCGCUGAAGCGGGCGACCGACACCAUGCCGUCUGGGCAAAUGAUUGAUUUCAGAUGAGUAGGAGGGCGUGGCGGCCGUGUCGAAGGGCGCAUGCAGAUGCGUCUGGAACGGCCGCUAGUGCAGAUCUUGGUGGUAGUAGCAAAUAUUCAAGCGAGAUCCUUGAAGGGCGAAGCGGGGAAGGGUUCCACGCGAACAUUGAUUGGGCGUGGGUGAGUCGUUCCUAAGCCGAGUGGCGAUUGCUAAGUAGCGGCGAAAGGGAAGUGGGUUGACAUUCUCACACACGGAUGUGGAGGCGGUGACGCUUGUUUGGGGCGAACACGCUGGCGAUGGCGCUGGGCAGAGUUGUCUUUUCUGUUUGACCGCUUAUAGACGCGGUGUGGAAUCCGCUUGUCGGGAGAAACACGCGUUUACGGGCAGAGCGCCGGGGUUUUUCCGGCGUCCAGCUCGCCAUCGACGGCCCUUGAAACUUUGCCUGCUGGAGACCUUUUUUUAUUUUAGGGUUGCAAAUCCACGCCGUGGCGUACCGAUCACCGCAUCAGGUCCCCGAGGUGAACAGCCUCUGCUCAGUAUGAAAAAUGCAGGUAAGGGAAGUCGGCAAA